ACGCUCGACACCUACGGGGGCAGCAGUGAGGAAUAUUGGUCAAUGGGCGCAGGCCUGAACCAGCCAAGUAGCGUGAAGGAUGACUGCCCUAUGGGUUGUAAACUUCUUUUAUAUGGGAAUAAAGUUUUCCACGUGUGGAAUUUUGUAUGUACCAUAUGAAUAAGGAUCGGCUAACUCCGUGCUAGCAGCCGCGGUAAUCUGAGCGGGCUGGCAAGGC
rnacentral:rRNA from 1 species